CUCUGGCAUGUUGUUUGCUAUUAUAUACCUGAGGAAACAUAACUAAUACCCUCUCUAAAACAGAAAAUGCACGCAGCAUGCAAAACAUGCAAAGAGCUAGCUGAAAAAAAAAAGAUACUCGAGGAUUUAGCUGCAACAGGCGAUAAACAGCAAAGUUUAAGUCAUUCUGGACCAAAGUUUGAUCUCAUCCUGUGCAUUUUCAUAGUCAUGUUUAUUCAUCAUUUCUUGCGCAUACUGCUUUGAAUUUCGGAUUAUUCUGCUUCCGAGCCUUGAUACGCAAACCUGCUUUACCACCACACAUACAUUUCACCGUGUUACUUCCGCGAUGAGUUUGCUUUACUUUCGGACAGAUUAGCAGUGUCGCCCCAGGUGAAUGCAGGCAGCUACAAUUAAUGGCUAUGUCUCACUAGCUGCCUUACGGAUCAGACAAGCUGCAAAAGAGGAGGGUUGUGUUUCGUGCUGAUACACCGGCUGCUUCUGUCAACACGUUGCACCUACGCCCUCCAUCUCCCCCAGUUCAGGUGCACAGCACUAGAACGACUGCAUGGCGGAAAAAAUACAGCUCGCUGCACACCCUCAUUCCCAGCUAAGGAAACUGGAGAGCACUCAGGAGCACAGCGUAUAUGGGAGAUGGCGUUACUUAAUGGGACUGUGAAUGCGUUCAACAAACCACUGGCUGGGUGAAUUCUGGGCAUGUUUUGCAAGCUAGGAAUCCCCUGAAUGUUUCCCGUUUACAUGCAGUCAACGUGGGCAUAAACCGCGGUGGCAUCAGGGCAUAGUAAUCCUAUUGCAAUGACUUUCCACACAAAGGGGAUUUGAAGACCCUCCCCCGCCCCCAGUGCCCGCAUUUCACAAGCUGCACACAGUCAGGGCUUUAUCAGACGUUCCCCAGCUUUAAAACAAUGUCUCUUUGCUUUAAAGGGGGAGGCUUCUGGUCCCCAUUUAUGCAGAUCACUAUGGGAAGGACUGACUGGCCGUGGAAAUCUGCUCUACUAGACACCGGGAGAUUGAUUCUCUGCUACCUUGCGUAGCCAUUGGCACCAGUGCGAGGUGCUGCUUUGCAGACGCUGACCUGACAGCGUCUCACACCCGUUCGGCGCUGGCGGAGCGGGCUGCAGGGCGGCGGCGGCGAACUGGGGCUGGACCGGCAGCUAAGCCACAGCUCCUCCGCACGGCCACAGGAGGGGGCUUUGCACUACGCUUCUCCACCCACGAGGCGCUUUCUGGGAGACUGGCCCAGGGCUUUGGGCAGGGAGCGCUUGGGCCAGGCAAAAUGUCCAUUGGCUACAAUAAGAGUGAGGAUUUCGGAAUCUCGCCCUUUAGGAUUAAGGGACUUCUAUCUGCAUACCUCCAAGUGCCUGACAGAUUAACAAAUUAAGCCUCACAACACAACAACCCGGUUAGAAAGGUUGCGUGAGAGAAAAAAGGGGUAUUGCAGUUGUCCUACCCACAGUGUCAUCCACGGACCCCUGAGCCCAGGUCAUGCUCUGCUGCCUGCCCUUUGCGAACACCAGCCUGGAGAGAUCAGGGAAAUGACCAACCUCAGGCUUGGUAGACGGGCUUGGCGUGGGUGUGACCAAGGGGUUAUAGCCUGGGACAGCCCACCUCCCCGAUCUUGACUGGGAUGCAUCCUGGGCCACAUGGGUCCUCACCACACUUUCAAGUAUGAUACAAUCAUGCAUUCCGAACGAGAGCCUUCCAAUAUCUGUGCUAUGGGCCCUUAAUGAUUCCGGUGCUGCUGAUAACUUUAUCGAUAUCAACAUGGUUUAGUCCUGCAAAUCCCUGUACAGCCAAAACCUACCCCAGACCUUGUGGACAGGAUAGGAGGGUCCUUCCUGUCCUCAGGUCCAGUGGUAGAAGAGACGGAACCCCUGGAAAUCACUAUCUAAGGACACUUGAGAGACACUGCCAUUUGUUUCAAUCCAUUAUGCGCAUUUCCCCCUGAUUCUCAGUGUCUCACGGCUGGCUGUCCAUAACCCCCAUAUCCUUUGUGCAAGGCUGACAAUGGUUCUUCAGAUCCAGGUAGACCCUUCCAGUAUAAGGCAAUGUCAUCUUCAAGGGUACUCUGGGCUCUGGUGGUAGGUCAGAUGGGGCUGCCCUCAGGAUUGUCCCCCUACCUCCCUGUCAAAUACCAAGAGUACAUGGCCAUUUUUGAGAAAAAGAAUGCAGACAUGCUACCCCACAUCGGGGCUACAACUGCCGAAUAGAUUUGCAACAUGGGGCAAUAGCCCCUUAUGGUUGAAUCUAUGCGAUAUCUAAAUCAGAGUUAACCACUCUACAUAGUACCCCCAGUCUACAAUGCUUCUUAGGCUUCAUUUUCUAUCAGUGUUUAUUUCAGAUUUUUCAGGGCAAAUAGUGCCCAUGACCAUCCUUCUCUGCAAAAAUGCCAGAUUUAUUUGGUCCCACAAAGCCCAAAAUGACUGAAGAUCACCUUUGCCACUGCCCCCAUCCUGGUAUACCUGGACCCAACGCAGGCCUUUAUUGUGGAAAUUGAAAUGUCUAACACAGUAAUAGGAGCAGUGGUCUCUCAGCAACAUGGUCCGGAAUCGUUAUUACACCCAUGUGUCUACUACUCCAGGAAACUCAGCCACACAGAACAAAAUUUUGAGAUCUUGGAUAAGGAACUCCUGGCAACCAAAGCCGCUUAUGAAGAAUGGUGUCAUUACCCUGAAGCAACCCAGUAUCCGGUACCACAAAAACCUUGACUAUCUACACAAGGCCAAAGUACUGAACCAGAGGCAAGUCAGGAAGAAGAUGGAAAGGGGGAGACCAGUGGGAGCUUCAUACCGAGACGUGUGUGUGUAAAUGCAGAAGCCACUUUGCAGGGGAGGGAAGCUGUGCUACGCAGAUUAGGCUAAAAGGAUCCCCCAAAAGAGGCUAGUACAAGUGGGUGGCCUGGAGACCACACUAGCACCCCCCAAACUACUGUGGAUACCCUGGCGGACCACAAGACAGAAACUCCUGCUAAACAGCAAGGAGGAAGAGGGGAGGAGGCAGACAUGGGGACUCCAGCCAUGCCAUGAGCCAGGACCUGUUUGGUAGCCCUCAACAGUCCAGCCAGCCAAACAUGGAUGAGACCUAUGAAGGGGAAGGGACUUUUGCAGCUGCUGCCUUUGCAGUCUUGAAGGGUGCCCCCUCCACAUCUGUAGAAUGCAAGACCCUGGUGAGGCAAAGAAAGAAGAUGACAAAGGAGGGCAUGUUCUGCAAGAUCCUGCAAGCCAGUGCUGCAUCAGACCUUGAAUGAAGGACCUGGAGGACCAAUAUGAUCGACAGCAUUGAGAAAGGCUCAGGGGUCCCAGUAGGAAAAGGACAGGGAGAUGUACCAGGAUAUAAUGGGUCUUCUCAGGCACCAAGCCCAAAUGUUGCAGACCCUGGUUGACCUAUUGGUUUAAAAAUCAGACUCUCCACCCUUUACAGUCCUCAGAGAACUCCAUGGUAGCAGUUCAUUACCCCUCCCAACAUACCAGGUGACAUCACAGUGCACAUAAAUAUCCCUAACACUCCACACCAGGGGACAGCAAGGAAAACCAUCACUUCAUAAACACUGACCUGUGAGAACCAUGGCAGGUGUAUGUGUAGCUACAAGGCACUACAUUUGUGGACUGAUAUGGACAGAAAUGUUUGCUGCCUUUCCAAUUUUUAAGUUCUGUAACUCUGUUAAAAGUUUGUGUUGCAUUGCCUUUUGCACGUUUUUCUUUUGCCCUGGUUUUGCCACUCGAUAAAUUUCUAUUGUUAAAAAAUAAAAUUAUUUUUAUUA